rnacentral:rRNA from 1 species
GACGAACGCCGGCGGCGUGCUUAACACAUGCAAGUCGAACGGAAAGGCCCUGCUUUUGUGGGGUGCUCGAGUGGCGAACGGGUGAGUAACACGUGAGUAACCUGCCCUUGACUUUGGGAUAACUUCAGGAAACUGGGGCUAAUACCGGAUAGGAGCUCCUGCUGCAUGGUGGGGGUUGGAAAGUUUCGGCGGUUGGGGAUGGACUCGCGGCUUAUCAGCUUGUUGGUGGGGUAGUGGCUUACCAAGGCUUUGACGGGUAGCCGGCCUGAGAGGGUGACCGGGCACAUUGGGACCGAGACACGGCCCAGACUCCUACGGGGGGCAGCAGGGGGGAAUAUUGCCACAUUGGCGGAAGCCUGAUGCAGCAACGCCGCGGGCGGGAAGACGGCCUUUGGGGUUGAAACCGCUUUCGCCUGUGACGAAGCGUAAGUGACGGUAAUGGGUAAAGAAGCACCGGCUAACUACGUG